CUCCACCGUAUCCUUCGAAGAAUACUUUAAAAAGAGCUCUUUUCUAGGAUUGAGCUGAGCUCUGUACUGGGGGGAUGAGGAGGUUGGUGAGCCAGGAUUGGGAUAUUUGGGCUGUAGCCCCGUUGCCUUUUAUUAGCUAUUGGGUUGGUUUUGUUUUUACCGUUGUUUUUGGCUGGCGAAGGAAGCUCUGCUUUUGACCUGCUUGCAUUUGUUUCUUUGGUGCAAAGUUUAUUUGAGCUGGUGAGUUGAUGGGUCUUGGAGGCUUGGCUUUUUGGGACUGCAUCAUGAGAUCUUUUCACUUCUAUUAUGUCAGUCUUGGGGUUGGGUUUUUGAACUCUAAUCCUUCUCUCGUCUCUUUCUCUCUUUCCUCUUCAUGUCAUGGUCUUUUAAUUAAUUUGUUAUGUUCUAGAAUGAGCUCGACAUUUUUAUUUUGAAUAUGGGUAACUGGUC
rnacentral:lncRNA from 1 species